rnacentral:rRNA from 1 species
CAGCAGCCGCGGGAAUACGAAGGGUGCAAGCGUUAAUCGGAAUUACUGGGCGUAAAGCGUGCGUAGGCGGUUUGUUAAGUCUGUUGUGAAAUCCCCGGGCUCAACCUGGGAAUGGCAAUGGAUACUGGCAAGCUAGAGUGUGUCAGAGGAUGGUGGAAUUCCCGGUGUAGCGGUGAAAUGCGUAGAGAUCGGGAGGAACAUCAGUGGCGAAGGCGGCCAUCUGGGACAACACUGACGCUGAGGCACGAGAGCGUGGGGAGCAAACAGGAUUAGAUACCCCGGUAGUCCCUGUCUCUUAUAC